UGGAUGUGUAUGCGGGGGCGUCGCUGGGUGUUGUUGAGGCCCUAAUUGUGUUUUAUUUCUUUCAGACUUAUGGGCUUCUAUGAGUGGCUGAGGUCCAGGAUUCUUUGAAGAACCUUUAGAGCUCGUUUGUAACAGCAGCGAUUUGAAGGAAAAAACUGGAGUUUUCUCCCAAUUGUGAGUACCAAAAUCCUUUUCUUCCCCUUAUGCUAAGAUGCUCAAACAUUUG
rnacentral:misc_RNA from 1 species